rnacentral:lncRNA from 1 species
AAUUAACUUGGUAAAUUUCUAAACAAUGUAAUUUCCAAAAUGAAAUAAUAUCCGUUCUCUCCCGGUUCUCUGCGAGUUUGUGUCAUCAGUUUCCCGAACAGUUUUCAGUCAUCCGCCAGCUGCAGCACCGCUACCGCCGUCUCCGAUCACUUCACUCUCCGUCUUUUUGUUCAUGGCCAAACCCAAAGCUCAGCGCCGAACUCUAGAGUCCUACUCCGUGAAGCACAUCAACAAAACU